rnacentral:rRNA from 1 species
GUAGGUGGCAAGCGUUGUCCGGAAUUAUUGGGCGUAAAGCGCGCGCAGGCGGUUCUUUAAGUCUGAUGUGAAAGCCCCACGGCUCAACCGUGGGAGGGUCAUUGGAAACUGGAGAACUUGAGUACAGAAGAGGAAAGCGGAAUUCCACGUGUAGCGGUGAAAUGCGUAGAGAUGUGGAGGAACACCAGUGGCGAAGGCGGCUUUUCUGGUCUGUAACUGACGCCGAGGCGCGAAAGCGUGGGGAGCAAACAGGGAUUAGAUACCCUGGUAGUCCACGCCGUAAACGAUGAGUGCUAAGUGUUAGGGGGGGUUUUCCGCCCCCCUUAGUGCUGCAGCUAACGCAUUAAGCACUCCGCCUGGGGAGUACGGCCGCAAGGCUG